CGGGGUGUAGCUCAGUUGGCUAGAGUACGCGCUUUGGGAGCGUGGGGUCGGAGGUUCGAGUCCUCUCACCCCGACCA
rnacentral:tRNA from 4 species